rnacentral:rRNA from 1 species
UACGUAGGGUGCAAGCGUUAUCCGGAAUUAUUGGGCGUAAAGGGCUCGUAGGCGGUUUGUUGCGUCGGGAGUGAAAACUCAGGGCUUAACCCUGAGCCUGCUUCCGAUACGGGCAGACUAGAGGUAUGCAGGGGAGAACGGAAUUCCUGGUGUAGCGGUGAAAUGCGCAGAUAUCAGGAGGAACACCGGUGGCGAAGGCGGUUCUCUGGGCAUUACCUGACGCUGAGGAGCGAAAGUGUGGGGAGCGAACAGG